rnacentral:misc_RNA from 1 species
GGAAUCAUGGCGCUCAUUCUGCUUCACGGGACUCUCCACGCCACCAUAUUCGAGGCGACCAACAUCAACAACCCUCGGGCCACCGGCAAGGCUCCCCGGUUUCUCCGCCAGUUUGUUGAAGGUAUCGAGGAAACCGUUGGUCUUGGAAAGGGUCAUACAAAACUUUAUGCCACUGUUGAUCUGGAAAAAGCCAGAGUUGGCAGGACUAGAAAGAUAUCAGAUGAACCUGUCAACCCACGUUGGUACGAGUCUUUUCACAUCUACUGUGCUCAUUCAGCUUCCAGCGUAGUCUUCACCAUCAAGUUUGACAACCCUAUUGGUGCAACACUGGUUGGGCGAGCUUACUUACCUGUGGAGGAACUUCUAAAUGGUGAGGAAGUGGAUAGAUGGCUUGAGAUAUGUAAUGACAAACGUGAACCUGUUGGCGAUACGAAGAUCCAUGUGAAGCUCCAAUAUUUUGACAUUUUAAAAGACCGUAAUUGGGCACGGGGAAUAAGGAGUCCAAAAUACCCGGGUGUACCGUACACAUUUUUCACUCAGAGACAAGGUUGUCGUAUUUCAUUAUACCAAGAUUCUCAUGUCCCAGAUGAAUUCGUUCCCAAAAUUCCUCUUGCCAAUGGAAACUACUAUGAACCACAUAGAUGCUGGGAAGACAUAUUUGAUGCAAUUAGUAAUGCACAACAUCUGAUUUACAUUACCGGUUGGUCAGUGUACACAGAAAUCACGUUGAUACGGGACUCUAGGAGGCAAAAACCAGGAGGAGAUGUUACUCUUGGCGAGCUUCUUAAGAGAAAAGCUAGCGAAGGAGUUCGAGUUCUUAUGCUUGUUUGGGAUGA